ensembl:lncRNA
UUUUUAAAGAUUUUAUUUAUUUUAUAUAAGUGAGUACCCUGUCACUCUCCUCAAACACACCAGGAGAGGGAAUCAGAUUGUGUUGCAGAUGGUUGCGAGCCACCAUGUCGUUGCUGGGAUUUGAACUCAGGACCUCUGGAAGAGCAGUCAGUGCUCUUAACCACUGAGCCACCUCUCCAGCCCCGCAAGUCUCCUUUUACUGAACACAAAUUAGUGUGUGUGUGUGUGUGUGUGUGUGUGUGUGUGUGUGUGUGUGUGUAUGUAUGUAUGUGUGUGUGUGUAUGUAUGUAUUUUAUGCCUGUGUGUAUAUGUGUGUGAGAUGCAUGCCUGUGUAUGUAGUAGUUGCGUGUGUACAUAUAUGUGUUUGCAUGUAGAGAUCAGAGGUUGGUAUCAGGUGUCUUCCUGAACCCAUUCUAUCUUGUUUUUUAAGACAGGCACCGCCACCGAACCCGGACAUCAUUAAUUAGCUAGACUGGCCAGCCAGCAAGACCAAGCGGUCCUCUUCCAUGUGGCAUUACAGGUACACACCUCUGUGCACACCUCAUGUGUGUGCUGGGGUCUGAGGUUGAGUCUUCGUGCUACUGCAGCAAGCUCUUCACCACCAUGUCUAAAUUGGUAACCGGUUAUACCGAAGACAAUGCCAUUUUCCAUAGUGAAGCUGGGGCCCUCUAACAGUUAUAUUAAAAUUUUGAGCACAAUGCCGAGAAGACGUAUGAAACCAGAGUUAAGUCAAUUCAGACUUCUAGCCCACAUGCUAGAAGGAGAGAACAGACUCCCACAGGUUGUCCUCCGAACUCCACACGUGUGCCAGUGUCUUUCCUUAAGCAUGGGUCUAAGUGUUGCCAGUCGGGGUGGGAGGGAGACAGACAGAAAUCAAGAAUACAGCCGAUUCUUUGUGAAGAACAUCACUGACUAAAGCAAAGCUUUGUGGAGACGAUUGUCUCUAGAUCCAUUCCAGCCCCUAGCUUCGGUAUGGCAAAAGAAGCAGGGUCAAAGGUCAGAGUCGAUUUGGAAAGCACGGCUCACAUUACUCAGGAGGGAGUCAUUCACUUCAGUGGGUUGACAUUUCCUCACCUGGAGGCGGGGAGGCACAGUCAGUCUGUGCAGAUGUGAGUCUCCUGUGACUUUGUCUGUCAGGAAGUGUAAAGCAGGGGUUUCAACCAUGGAGGCUGCAGCUGGCAUUUGGUGAGUGGAGGACAGAGAUGCUGUUAAAUGCUCCCAUGGCAAAUCCUCUGAUUCAAAAUAUUAGCCUGCUAAACAGUAGGGCCUGGUGAGAAGCCCUUCUCUAAUGAGUUUGGGGAAUACAGAUCUAUUAAAACUUAUAGGAAAAUAAAUUUGUCAUUUGAUUCAGAGCCAGAGGAAGACCUUCAGUGUUCACUGGGCAGGGUGAGCAGCCAGCUAUAGGCUGGCCACAGCCUCAAAGGAAAGAAAGGACCUGAUUGGUUCAGGCUCCACACUUGCCUUAUUUAGCAUGGUUUCAUCUAGGGACUUCCUAUGAUUGGCUGAAACUUGCAGCUUAUGAUUGGCUGACAUACAUACACACUACAUACAU